UUGAACGCUGGCGGCAUGCUUUACACAUGCAAGUCGAACGGCAGCGGGGGCUUCGGCCUGCCGGCGAGUGGCGAACGGGUGAGUAAUGCAUCGGAACGUACCCAGUCGUGGGGGAUAACGUAGCGAAAGUUACGCUAAUACCGCAUACGUCCUGAGGGAGAAAGCGGGGGACCGUAAGGCCUCGCGCGAUUGGAGCGGCCGAUGUCGGAUUAGCUAGUUGGUGGGGUAAAGGCCUACCAAGGCGACGAUCCGUAGCGGGUCUGAGAGGAUGAUCCGCCACACUGGGACUGAGACACGGCCCAGACUCCUACGGGAGGCAGCAGUGGGGAAUUUUGGACAAUGGGGGCAACCCUGAUCCAGCCAUGCCGCGUGAGUGAAGAAGGCCUUCGGGUUGUAAAGCUCUUUCAGACGGAAAGAAAACGCAUCGGUGAAUACCCGGUGUGGAUGACGGUACCGUAAGAAGAAGCACCGGCUAACUACGU
rnacentral:rRNA from 1 species